rnacentral:rRNA from 1 species
GGGGAAUCUUCCGCAAUGGACGAAAGUCUGACGGAGCAACGCCGCGUGAGUGAUGACGGCCCUCGGGUUGUAAAGCUCUGUUAAUCGGGACGAAAGGUCUUCUUGCGAAUAGUUAGAAGAAUUGACGGUACCGGAAUAGAAAGCCACGGCUAACUACGUGCCAGCAGCCGCGGUAAUACGUAGGUGGCAAGCGUUGUCCGGAAUUAUUGGGCGUAAAGCGCGCGCAGGCGGAUCAGUCAGUCUGUCUUAAAAGUUCGGGGCUUAACCCCGUGAUGGGAUGGAAACUGCUGAUCUAGAGUAUCGGAGAGGAAAGUGGAAUUCCUAGUGUAGCGGUGAAAUGCGUAGAUAUUAGGAAGAACACCAGUGGCGAAGGCGACUUUCUGGACGAAAACUGACGCUGAGGCGCGAAAGCCAGGGGAGCGAACGGGAUUAGAUACCCCGGUAGUCCUGGCCGUAAACGAUGGGUACUAGGUGUAGGAGGUAUCGACCCCUUCUGUGCCGGAGUUAACGCAAUAAGUACCCCGCCUGGGGAGUACGACCGCAAGGUUG